rnacentral:rRNA from 1 species
UAGGGAAUCUUCGGCAAUGGGGGGAACCCUGACCGAGCAACGCCGCGUGAGUGAAGAAGGUUUUCGGAUCGUAAAGCUCUGUUGUUAAGGAAGAACGAGUGUGAGAAUGGAAAGUUCAUGCUGUGACGGUACUUAACCAGAAAGGGACGGCUAACUACGUGCCAGCAGCCGCGGUAAUACGUAGGUCCCGAGCGUUGUCCGGAUUUAUUGGGCGUAAAGCGAGCGCAGGCGGUCAAUUAAGUCUGAUGUGAAAGCCCCCGGCUCAACCGGGGAGGGUCAUUGGAAACUGGUUGACUUGAGUGCAGAAGAGGAGAGUGGAAUUCCAUGUGUAGCGGUGAAAUGCGUAGAUAUAUGGAGGAACACCGGUGGCGAAAGCGGCUCUCUGGUCUGUAACUGACGCUGAGGCUCGAAAGCGUGGGUAGCAAACAGG